rnacentral:rRNA from 1 species
UACGAAGGGGGCUAGCGUUGUUCGGAAUUACUGGGCGUAAAGCGCGCGCAGGCGGUCUUCCAAGUCAGUGGUGAAAGCCCGGAGCUCAACUCCGGAACUGCCAUUGAAACUGUUAGACUUGAGGAUGAGAGAGGUGAGUGGAAUUCCCAGUGUAGAGGUGAAAUUCGUAGAUAUUGGGAAGAACACCGGUGGCGAAGGCGGCAACCUGGUCCUUGACUGGACGCUGAGGCGCGAAAGCGUGGGGAGCAAACAGG